rnacentral:lncRNA from 1 species
GCCAGAGCUGGGGAGGGACCGGCUGCUGCCCCGAUCACAGAUCACACACCAGUCCGAGUCACCACUGCCUGUCGUGGGUCCCUUACCUUGUGGGCUUUCCCUGGGGGACACCUGACGUUAUUGGAGGCUCCCGCUGUUUGAUUCAUUUCCACACGAAGUUGGGGGUUCUGGAUCCUCUAGCGGUGAAACUUGCUUGUUGCGGGAGGUGGCGGCCGCGGUGAGUGCCCCCGGGGAGGUGCUAGGGGUCCUCACCGGGCAGCGCGGUCCCAGGAGCGCGAGCGAGCGAGGGGCGCUUCCCGCUGUGGGUCUCUGCAGGGUUCCUCGCCCGGGGACGCUGAGAUCCGCAGCCCAGAGCCUGGGGAGGAGUCGCGGCUGCUUGGACUCCGAAAGGACCCGAGCCGGCGCCAAGGGCUCCGAGGGCGUCCAGCCCAGUGCUGUCUUCCCGGGAGCUGGUCCAGGGCUCAAGCCCAAACGCUGGGCAAAUCCAGAAAGAGAUCGGAGGAGGGCUGAGGAGGUGUGUGGGGAGCCGGGAUGUAGGACUGGGCUCUUCCCCGCGCAAGGGGUGGGAACCCGCGGCGCCCAGAGCCACGCGCGCUCCAGCCGGGGCUUGGCUCCUGCACCGACCCCUCCACACCCGCAGGAGCGGGGGCUGGAGCGGGAAGCAGUGCGGAUCCGGCUCCUCCCGCCUCGCAGGGGUGGGUUAAAGAGGGCAAUUCAGAGGGCUGGCGCCCGCUCCUGCCUGCAGCUCAAGCUCGGGGCUCCAGUCGCCAAACCUCGGGACGGUCGAGAGGUGGCAUGCGCGGCUCUGCCAGGAGCUGCCACACAGGCUCAUGACGGAAGACCCACAAGAAAAGCCCAUCUAACAAGAGAGAAACAUACAAAUUCAUUUACGUUUUCUCUGUCAUGGAGGCCUCAGAAAAGAAGUCCCCCCAACACAGGGAAAGAUUGCAGCUGACUGAUUCACUGUUGGAUUGAUGGAGACACCAAAAUGAAUUAGAUCACAUCAUUUGGAUUCUUGUAGCUUGGAAAUUGAAUGAUCUUAUAAUGAAGAAUCUGAAUUUCAAAAAGCAGUCCCCAAGGAUGAAGACCUUCUGAGCUUCCAGACAAACACAUCUCUUCCUGCAUGAGUGAAACUGGCUCCGGAAGACGCACUGUGCUUACGUUUCAGUGGAAUUGAUCUCAUCACAUCUCCCUGUAAUCAUCUGAGGCUGGCUCUACCUACAUACUGAUCCCACAUUCUGAUGCCCGUGUGACACUGUGGAGGGCCUGGAACCUGCUAAACAUCUCUGUGUGAGAACAUUCUCCUCUUUGUCCUAAAGUCAUUUCCGCAGGACAGAGCUCCUGAAGAGCCACCCUGCUGUCCUCGGUGACAGAUUUGCCAGCCCUCCACCAGGUGGAUGGAUAUGGUGAGAUCAGCUGUGUCCUCUGGUAUUUCUCCUGCUCUCAGGGUGAUCCCAGCCUCCUACCAUCAUGAAGCAGCCCCCAGGAGGAAGCUGCAGGAAGGCAGCCAUCUGAGGAUAGUCAUCCCAGCUUCACACUCCCAGAAAGUCACAGAGAAAAACAG